GACGAACGCUGGCGGCGUGCUUAACACAUGCAAGUCGAACGGUAAGGCCCUUCGGGGUACACGAGUGGCGAACGGGUGAGUAACACGUGGGUGAUCUGCCCUGCACUUCGGGAUAAGCCUGGGAAACUGGGUCUAAUACCGGAUAGGACCACUGCGUGCAUGGGUGGUGGUGGAAAGCUUUUGCGGUGUGGGUUGGGCCCGCGGCCUAUCAGCUUGUUGGUGGGGUGAUGGCCUACCAAGGCGACGACGGGUAGCCGGCCUGAGAGGGUGACCGGCCACACUGGGACUGAGAUACGGCCCAGACUCCUACGGGAGGCAGCAGUGGGGAAUAUUGCACAAUGGGCGCAAGCCUGAUGCAGCGACGCCGCGUGAGGGAUGACGGCCUUCGGGUUGUAAACCUCUUUCAGCACCGACGAAGCGCAAGUGACGGUAGGUGCAGAAGAAGGACCGGCCAACUACGUGCCAGCCGCCGCCGUAA
rnacentral:rRNA from 1 species